CCUACGGGAGGCAGCAGUGAGGAAUAUUGGUCAAUGGGCGGAAGCCUGAACCAGCCAAGUCGCGUGAGGGAAUAAGGCCCUACGGGUCGUAAACCUCUUUUGCCGGGGAGCAAGGGCGGGGACGUGUCCCGGCCCGGAGAGUACCCGGAGAAAAAGCAUCGGCUAACGCCGUGCCAGCAGCCGCGGUAAUGCGGAGGACGCGAGCGUUAUCCGGAUUUAUUGGGUUAAAAGGGUGCGGAGGCGGGCUUUAAAGUCAGCGGUAAACGCUCGGGGUUCAACCGCGGCCGGGCGUUGAAACUGGGGGCGUUGAGUGAGCGAGAGGCAGGCGGAAUGCGUGGUGUAGCGGUGAAAUGCAUAGAUAUCACGCAGAACCCCGAUUGCGAAGGCAGCCUGCCGGCGCCCUACUGACGCUGAGGCACGAAAGUGCGGGGAUCAAACAGGAUUAGAUACCCCAGUAGUC
rnacentral:rRNA from 1 species